rnacentral:rRNA from 1 species
AACGAACGCUGGCGGCAUGCCUAACACAUGCAAGUCGAACGAGACCUUCGGGGCUAGUGGCGCACGGGUGCGUAACGCGUGGGAACCUGCCCUUAGGUUCGGAAUAACUCCCCGAAAGGGGUGCUAAUACCGGAUAAUGUCUUCGGACCAAAGAUUUAUCGCCUUUGGAUGGGCCCGCGUUGGAUUAGCUAGUUGGUAGGGUAAAAGCCUACCAAGGCGACGAUCCAUAGCUGGUCUGAGAGGAUGAUCAGCCACACUGGGCCUGAGACACGGCCCAGACUCCUACGGGAGGCAGCAGUGGGGAAUAUUAGACGAUGGGCGAAAGCCUGAUCCAGCAAUGCCGCGUGAGUGAUGAAGGCCUUAGGGUUGUAAAGCUCUUUUACCCGGGAUGAUAAUGACAGUACCGGGAGAAUAAGCUCCGGCUAACUCCGUG